rnacentral:rRNA from 1 species
UACGAAGGGGGCUAGCGUUGCUCGGAAUCACUGGGCGUAAAGGGUGCGUAGGCGGGUCUUUAAGUCAGGGGUGAAAUCCUGGAGCUCAACUCCAGAACUGCCCUUGAUACUGGCGGUCUCGAGUCCGGGAGAGGUGAGUGGAACUGCGAGUGUAGAGGUGAAAUUCGUAGAUAUUCGCAAGAACACCAGUGGCGAAGGCGGCUCACUGGCCCGGUACUGACGCUGAGGAGCGAAAGCGUGGGGAGCAAACAGG